UAAAUCCCAUGGUGCCUUCUCCU
rnacentral:miRNA from 3 species